GAUGAACGCUGGCGGCGUGCCUAAUACAUGCAAGUCGAGCGAACAGACGAGGAGCUUGCUCCUCUGACGUUAGCGGCGGACGGGUGAGUAACACGUGGAUAACCUACCUAUAAGACUGGGAUAACUUCGGGAAACCGGAGCUAAUACCGGAUAAUAUAUUGAACCGCAUGGUUCAAUAGUGAAAGACGGUUUUGCUGUCACUUAUAGAUGGAUCCGCGCCGCAUUAGCUAGUUGGUAAGGUAACGGCUUACCAAGGCAACGAUGCGUAGCCGACCUGAGAGGGUGAUCGGCCACACUGGAACUGAGACACGGUCCAGACUCCUACGAGGCAGCAGUAGGGAAUCUUCCGCAAUGGGCGAAAGCCUGACGGAGCAACGCCGCGUGAGUGAUGAAGGUCUUCGGAUCGUAAAACUCUGUUAUUAGGGAAGAACAAAUGUGUAAGUAACUAUGCACGUCUUGACGGUACCUAAUCAGAAAGCCACGGCUAACUACGUG
rnacentral:rRNA from 1 species